CCCUUAGAUGUUCUGGGCCGCACGCGCGCUACACUGAUGCAUGCAACAAGUCUUUUCCUUGGCCGAGAGGCCUGGGCAAUCUUUGAAUAUGCAUCGUGAUGGGGAUAGACGAUUGCAAUUAUUCGUCUUCAACGAGGAAUUCCUAGUAAACGCAAGUCAUCAGCUUGCAUUGAUUACGUCCCUGCCCUUUGUACACACCGCCCGUCGCACCUACCGAUUGAAUGGUCCGGUGAAGCCUCCGGAUUGGCGCGCACCUCGGUGCCGCCGAGAAGUUGGCUAAACCUUACCAUUUAGAGGAAGGUGAANUCGUAACA
rnacentral:rRNA from 1 species